AGCGAACGCUGGCGGCAGGCCUAAUACAUGCAAGUCGAACGGUCCUUCGGGGCAGUGGCGGACGGGUGAGUAACGCGUGGGAACGUGCCCUUUGGUACGGAACAACUGAGGGAAACUUCAGCUAAUACCGUAAGUGCCCUUCGGGGGACAGAUUUUUCGCCAUUGGAGCGGCCCGCGUUGGAUUAGCUAGUUGGUGGGGUAAAGGCCCACCAAGGCGACGAUCCAUAGCUGGUCGGAGAGGAUGAUCAGCCACACUGGGACUGGGACACGGCCCAGACUCCUACGGGAGGCAGCAGUAGGGAAUCUUGCGCAAUGGGCGAAAGCCUGACGCAGCCAUGCCGCGUGAAUGAUGAAGGUCUUAGGAUUGUAAAAUUCUUUCACCGGGGACGAUAAUGACGGUACCCGGAAAAGAAGCCCCGGCUAACUUCGUGCCAGCCGCCGCUGUAACAC
rnacentral:rRNA from 1 species